AAAGUCGUAACAAGGUUUCCGUAGGUGAACCUGCGGAAGGAUCAUUACAAGAGAAAAUGGCUUUAUUCUCCCUUUUUUUCUUUUAGCUGGUGGUUGGGCAAGCCCAACCAGAGGUUAAAGAAGAAAAGCAACAAUCAUACAACACUCACACUUAUAAACACCAACACACAGUAGCACCUUGCUGCAAUGGAUCUCUCGGCUCUU
rnacentral:misc_RNA from 1 species